rnacentral:rRNA from 1 species
AGUGAACGCUGGCGGCGUGCCUAAUACAUGCAAGUCGAACGGAGUGGCGCAAGGGCGAGUAAUGUAUAGCUAAUCUGCCCUACACUAGAGGACACCAGUUGGAAACGGCUGCUAAUACUCUAUAGUGUAGGAUGAGGCUAUAUUGUAUCAGCUAGUUGUUGAGGUAAUGGCGCACCAAGGCUAUGACGCAUAACUGGACUGAGAGGAUGAUCAGUCACACUGGAACUGAGACCCGGUCCAGAGUCCUACGGGAGUGAGCAGUAGGGAAUAUUGCUCAAGGGAGGAAACCCUGAAGCAGCAACGCCGCGUGGAGGAUGACACUUUUCGGAGCGUAAACUCCUUUUGUUAGGGAAGCGGUACCUAACGAAUAAGCACCGGCUAACUCCGUGCCAGCAGCCGCGGUAAUAC